rnacentral:rRNA from 1 species
CGCGUAGGCGGUUUGUUUAGUUAGGCGUGAAAUUCCUGGGCUUAACCUGGGGACUGCGCUUAAUACAGGCAGACUUGAGUUCGGAAGAGGGUCGUGGAAUUCCCAGUGUAGAGGUGAAAUUCGUAGAUAUUGGGAAGAACACCAGUGGCGAAGGCGGCGACCUGGUCCGAUACUGACGCUGAGGCGCGAAAGCGUGGGGAGCAAACA